ACAUCGCGCGACAAAGAAACGUAAGUACGUAUAUAGCUGAAUGAUUGGGUCGAGUCGAUGGGGGUGACGAACACCAACCAUGCGUGUUUCCAUCGAAUACAGAGCGAGCGAACAGAGGUAAGCUGCACGCAGGAUAAAGAAGUUUCCAACACGGAGGAAAGCUGAUUUAUUACUCCGGGAAAGGGGCUGAGUAGUAGAGGGGUUGGAGAGCGGAAGAGCGCAGCUUGUCAGGUGUAUAACGCGUCGGAACUUACGAAAUUAUUCCAUCGAGUUUUCGUGCUGGCUGCAACGUGAGCAUCGCGAGAGAAUACAGGACGAAGGAGGACGAGAGAAAUAGAAGGAGGGAGAGCAGUCGCGUCUUAAUUGUUCGAGACACGCAGCUCGACGCUGCUGCUCACGCUCCCCGUUGAAAAGGGAUAAUUAGGAGAGACGCGGCAUCGUCGUUAACGCCUUGUAAACCGCAUUAGUAACGUUUUCCCGAUAAAACGUUGUUUUGCCCUUUUAUCGCUUAUCGGCUCGCUGGAAUCUAUUCGCACUACUUGCGAAUAAUUCAUGUAAAACAACAGAAAUGCACGCUCGUAACCCCUUUUAAUCGUAUUCCGCCUUUGUCUUGCAAAUCGUGCUUCACGUAUUCGUGAAGUAGAAUUUUCUUCGAUAGCCCGUUAUCGUUUAUUUUCCGGUUUUUUUCUGCGCUGAGUUAUCGCGAGAUGGACGAUAACAGGCAAAGUGUAAACGUUCUUGUUGAGAAUUGUGGAUCUUAAUUGCCGAAAUAAAAGUAAAGGAACACCGAGGUUACACUUAGAAUUCAAGUUAAAAUAGUUUUAGGUUUAUUUAAUAAACGAUUUCCAGGGUCUUCGUCGACAUACUUUAGCGCACGUCUCAGCACUUUCUUUGUCUCACCAUCUUCCGCACCACACUAUUAACGAAACAUUCAUCUGUUUUUCGAGACACCGCGCACACACAUACUUCCACACACUCAUAUUCACGUACGUGUGUCACUACUACGCGGCCAAUCUAGUCUAGCACACAAAAUUAUGCAUAUCUCAAUAGUUCUUAACACUGGAACUAACAAAGUUUUUCUGGUUUUUGCAAUUGAUAACAGCAUGACAGCGUUUCCGAUGGAAUUAACGUUAAUUUUCAUCGAAACUGAACUAGUAUCGGGCAAAAGUCUUGGAUUACCUAUGAUAGAUGAUCCAGCAAGGGAAUAUUUUUACACAAUGUUACGUAGAAACCAAUUCUUUUGUGACGCUAUUCGUUUGUAAUUUUUUCCGGUUCACAGGUCUUUGAAAAUUAUUUCAACAAGUAGAAGGGUAAAAUAAAUGUUACGUAGCACGAUAUAUACGUCGAACGAUUUAAAAUGAGAAAAAAGAAAGUUAAAGACAUACAUAAAUCGCCUGAAAUACUAAAAACAAAAUAUUGUAUAAUAUAACGUGUGUUUAUUGAAAAUUUAUUUGAGAAGAUCCCAGAAAGAACGACUGGACAUUAAUCAAUAUCUUUUUUAUUAAAUUACCAACAAGUUUCGAAAUAUUACGCUUAUUAAGAAGCAACAACGGACUUGAAAUAAAUUUAAAAUAAUAAUAUCAAGUAUCCUUAUAUUCAUUCAUGAGAAGAAAAUAUCGUUGCAUUUUAAGUAGCUUAAGACUUUUACAUAAUACCGUACCUAUUUAUCUUCAUCAUAUUACUUUAAUUAUAAUCAUCCCGAUAUAUAUAGUACAUUUACAUACACAUUGUAAAUCGGUAGAUUUAAUAUUAAAACCUUUCUCGUUAAAAUAUAAUACAAAAGGUUAUUCGGUCCAUCGAUCGCGGUAAAUGUUCCAGGCACCAUGCAACGUGUCGCUUAAGGCGAUUUGAAACUCGUGACAUUUACGCGGUCGACGAUAACCAAUCAGGAAACUUUGUGGAAACGUUCCGUAGACCAAUAACAUUCAAAAUUCCGUGCAUUUCGACUUCUAAUCGGAAGGUCACGGAAAGGAAAUCGUUCAGUUCUCGUCGGUCUUCGACCGAUGCGUCGCGGUCGAGUUAGUUGGUAGUUACGUUCCGAUUUGCGCAACAGUCUAACAAACUUUGGCCCGAGCAAGUUCAUAAUCGCGUAACUCUCAGGUCGGCUUUAUUUCAACAAUGCACCUACGAUACCGUGACCAUCUUACAACCACGCUACUCCCAAGCCUUUGUUCGUCAUCGACAAUAGAAGCUGUCUCUAUGGCGUAGCAGUCGAACUUCUAUCCAUCGUUUGCUUCCUCCACCCGUCGCUUACUUCUGAUUAGAAACCACGCUCUUUUCUGCACGAGAGAAAAAAGAAAAAGGAGACGAGAGAGGCGAAGCGUUUUCUCCUCAGUCACGUUUGAUCCCUUGUAAGGGGGCAGAAACGUUGAAAAGACAUCGGGGAUCAACGGGGUUCGCUUUAAUCCGACGACCCAGCGACGAUUAGCAUUCACGGGGGAAGCUCGCCCUUUGUUGUGCCGACAGUCAGUACCGGAAUCGCGGAGUCGUGCCAACGGGAUAACUGCUCAAGUUUCCCGGCAAGCUGAGACAGCGCGACGCGAACUGGGUUAGAAAAAAGACACGGGGUAGAUAUGUGUAAAAAGCGUGCCGAUUAAAACGUCCUCGGUCCGACACGGUCUCGAGAAACUUUAAUGUCGAAGAUUUUCUUCGCGAAAUUUGGAUGGAUAUACGUAUAAGUAUAAGUGUUUACAUUGGUCGAUUGUUUUGUCGGAGUUCGCGAGUGUGUUGUGAUACGAGAAGAAGUUUGGCGACGGAGAUUUCGCGGAAAGGGAACGGAAGGGCAGAAAGGAGAAGCACACGAUUUAGAAUUGACGUUUUAUCCUGUUGAACGAGGCUCUAAACAUCAUCGAAAGUUGUAAAUUUCAUCGAUUUUAUUAUUGUCUCGCCAUGUCGCCUUCAUCUGGUAUGAAUAUGUACUA